rnacentral:misc_RNA from 1 species
GAUGAAGAACGUAGCGAAAUGCGAUACUUGUUGUGAAUUGCAGAAUCCCGCGAAUCAUCGAGUUUUUGAACGCAAGUUGCGCCCGAAGCCAUUCGGCCGAGGGCACGUCUGCCUGGGUGUCACGCAUCGUUGCCCCCCCAAACUCCGGUUCGGGCGGGGCGGAAGUUGGCCUCCCGUGCGUGCCUGCGCGCGCGGUUAGCCCAAAAGCGAGUCCUCGGCGACGAGCGCCACGACAAUCGGUGGUUUUUUUACCCUCGUUCCUCGUCGUGCGUGCCCCGUCGCCCGAACGCGCUCUUGCGACCCUCACGCGUCGCCUCGGCGGCGCUCCCAACGCGACCCCAGGUCAGGCGGGACUACCCGCUGAGUUUAAGCAUAUCAUAAGCGGAGGA